GAUAUUUAACUCAGAACAAUCUAGUAUCUCGGUGUCUUUUAGUUAGGAAUAGAAUUUAGCACCGAGCGAGUGUAAGGACAGUGGAUUCCCCAUCAGAUAGGCAGAGUCAUUAGUAGCAGUCCCUAUACUCCAGAACUACGUAGACAGUGUAAGAUAUGAGUAGUCACCCGUCAGAUUAGCCUUGACUAUCUCGCAUGGGUCACCCGCCAGUUCAGGCUUGACACCCUUAGUCCUUUGGACAUUAUAUCAAUUUAGUGGAUCCACACAGCCAUUGUUAGUUCCCGUGGCAUGGUAUUAACACCCUUCCAACUGGGGUUAUGGGUUGGACCCCUAUUAGCCCAAAUUAUAGAAUAUCGGUUAGAUGAUACCUCCCACAGUCUCAGUUACAGUCCCAGCUCAGUUAUUCAGUCUUAGUGUUGUUUGACCAAAGCAUACAGAUUUUAGUUAUUUCAGUAUUUUAGUUUAAAGAUUUUACUCAGUUAUGUUAUAUGCUUGGUCAUGCACAUUUUUUUAUUCUAUGCACAUUGUUGGAACUUCUUUGUGAGUAUGAGUGCCUUAGGACCAUCCCCGUAUUAACAUGCAUAAUUUAUUUGAGUGAGUAGGACUUCUUUGUUGUGAAGUUAUAUGGAUUGUAUUGCUAGCUGCUUAUUUGUUUAGGUAAUAUAACUUGUACAUAUGUAUGAUUGUUUAUUAAUAGUGUAAUUCCAUAGCAUGAUUUCUUUGUGUUAUGUUGUUGUGCAACAUAAAUCCACACAGUUGGUCAUGAAAAGUAAAAAUAAGAGGUGGUGAGGUUUGCGAGCUGAAUUUGAGAUUGACUGCCAUAGGUAUCUUAGGUUUUUCGUGGUUAAGCAUCGUGUUUUGUUUUUGUUGUAUUUUUGUUUCCUGAGGACAUGCAAAUGUUCUAAGUUGAGGGUGUUGAUGUGUCAUGGUUUCAUGGAACUUAAGAUGAUUAAAACUAUGAAAAAAUGCAAAUACUUUGGCCAUUUUGUUUGAUAUGAUAUGUGUUUUGUGUGUGUUGAAGGAAAAUUAGGUUGGAAGUGGUAUGGAGAAGAAUAAGAUGAAAAGGAGUUGAAAAUCAAAGGCCCUAACUAGACUAUGAGUUGUUAUAUGACUAUACAACUCAUAGCCCAAGUCGUGGUGAUAACAAUGAAAAUUGUUGAUUCUAGGAGUGAAGUUGAGGCUGACCUCAACUCGUUGGGGAUGACAAUAAGUUGUGGUGUGAGUCAUUUUGGGCAAAUUUUCAAAAGUCCUAAGGAGAGCCAAGUUAAAGCCCCUAUGGAAAUAGAAGAAGACGAUGAGCCGUCAUGACAGGGUACGACUUAUAGUGAGGAGUUGUUCUGACAAAAAAGAGAAAAAUCCUGAAAGGUGAAAAUCGACUGGAGUGAUAACGGGUCCAACUAAUGACUUAUAGUGUCUUACCACAAGUCACCAUCACUCAACACAGAAAGAAGGCAAUAGAGCUGACAAUGAGUCAUGUCAGUCCAAACGACUCGUUGCCUGAGGCGUAGCCACUACCGACUUUAUUUUUAUAUUUUUUUGUUAGGUUUUCUUUAUUAUUUUGAGAAACUAUAAAUACCCAUUGGAUACUUUUGUAAUAGUUUAUGCACUUAAACUAUUCACAAACAUAUAUUUGAUUCUAAGAUUGAAUUUUGAUCUUGGAAUCUCUUUGUUCUUGGUUUUUGGUUGAUUAAUUGAUCCGAGACUUUAGGUUUUCUUCAUAAAUUAUUUUUGAGAUUAUUCUUAUGUUUUCUUUAUUGAUUUUCAUGGAUUGUUUCGCAACUAUGAGCGGCUAAUUCCCUUAGAUAUAGUUGUGGGAACCAUGGCAGAAUAGCAAAGUAGGGGAAGUGUGAGGUUUUCUACAUCAUUAUUUACACUUGCAUUAUGAUCUUUUUCAGUUUAAUUGCUUUCUUAGUGUGGCCAACUCUAAUAACCUAUAACAAGAGAGAUUAAGAUUUGGAAAAAGAAAUUACAACAGUGAUUUGAGGCUAUCAAUCCUUGUCUAAUAACUUGAUACCCACAAGGUGAAAGUUAAACUAGGAUCAAAGACAAAGGUUGGCAAGGUGACACCCUGAGACUUACAAGGUGAAGUAUGAGAUUUACCAACGCGUUCAUUAGAUGGUUGGUAAUACCUAGCUUGGCAGAUUCUGCAUAUGUGGUAGUGAGAUAGUUGGAUAGGGAAUAAGAAACCUACUGAGUUAGGAAGCCAGGAUAACACAGUUCGAGUGUUCAUCUCAAGUUUUUUACAACCAAAAUCAUUCACAACUUGUUACUUUUUACUUUUUAGUACAAAAUCCCCUUAUUUACUUUUCUACACUUCCGUUUACUUCAGUAAGUUUGAGAGACGGAUUCGACCUAUUCCAUGUAAGAUCGACCCCAACCUUGUUGGUUUAUUAUAAUUUGAUAGCGACCGCAUUGUAUCUUUUUGGAGGGCAUAAUUUGGGCGACAUCGUCUCACCUCCAGAUCAUUUGGAGAAGAUAGAAGUAGUAUAUGAAUAGGGUGUAGAGCCCAAGGUAGCAGCUCAAAUUAAGGUUGUGGGACUACCUCAAAUGUCUACUGAGAUUGUGCAGCAAGUGUUAGCUUUUGUGAAUUGGUUGGCAAGGACUAGAGCUACUCCCACGAUACCAUCUUACCAUGCUCAAGUUGUUUUCCUACUAUCACUAUGGCUCCUAGAAUGGAUGAAUCUUCAGGGACCAGUGCUUUUUCUCAUCUAGUUUUUGGUUUCAUGAUGACGGGUACAAAACAUAAACUAUUGAUAAAAUUUCUAAAGAUAAAACCUCCAAUAUUCUUGGGUAUUGAGUCGAUAAAUGUGUUUGAGUUCAUCAUUGAUUGCUAUGGGAGGUUACACAAGAUGGGUGAUGGGUAUUAUGAAGAAACAUAGAGUUGAGUUUGUGACCAUUCUAUUGGAGAGGUAUUCUAAGCAAUGAUGGAGGGCAUGUGUUGAAUAUUAGUCACUAGCUUUGCCUCCAUUGACUUAAGAGAAGUUUCAUGCUUUGUUCUUAGAAAAGUGUAUGUCAUGGGCCUUUCGUGACCACAAGAAAGAUAAAUUAUUGGCACUGGAAUAGGGAAACAUGUUAGUUGCAGGCUAUGAGGCUAAGUUUCAUGCUUUAUCUCUCUAUGCCACUCAGUUGUUAACCUUUGAAAAAGAAAGGAUUUGCCUCUACGUUAAAGUUUUGAACUAUGAUCUUUAGGUAUUGUUUGUGCAUAUGACUUUUGUAGGAUAGGGAUUCAAUGAAAUUUCAAACUAUGUAAAAAAGUUAAAAGGGGUUAAUCAAACGAGUAAGGAUAAAAAUUAUCUAAGAAGUCGCAAAUAUUGAAAAUUUCAGUGGGUCUUACUCUGAGGGCCACAAUCAUUCAACUUAUCCUAUUUAGUUAGCCUUGCUAGCUUCUAUUGUGGUUCCAUCUAAGGUUUGUUCUCAACAACAUACUGUUAGGAGAUAAGGGGCUUCUUACUCAUCUAUAAAUCGACCUUCUCUCAAGUGAGGGUAUUUAUAUUAUGGUAUUUUUGUCCAAUUUAAAGGGAAGUGUCCUGUGUGGUAGGCAAAUGCUCAAGUACAGCAGCAGACUUCGUCUAAAGUUCCAGCAGGUGGAUGAGAAAGAGGUAGCGACAGUGGUCAUCCACAAGGUGGGUAGGAAAAUCAGACAGGUGGCCAGGUUUGUCGCGAAAAUAGCAGCGCAGGAGGAGGAGCACAGCCAGGGAAGGAUUUAGCUCAAAUUAAUAAUUGGGCUCAUUAUUAUGCAUUUCCAAGAAAGGUUGAUGUCGAGGAUUCUAAUGCGGUGAUCAUAAGUUUUAUUUUUGUUUGUGAUAUAAUGGAUUUUAUUUUAUUUGAUUUGGUUUCUACUUAUUCUUAUGAAUCUGCUUAGUUUAUUGUGGGGCUAAAUUUGGUUUAUAAUGUCCUUGGUUAUCCUAUUUAUGUGUCUACUCUGGUUGAUGAAUCUAUGGUAGUAACCCAUGUUUACCAUUCUUGCCUUGUAUUAUAUAUGGAUUUUCAAACUUGGGUAGACUUGAUUAUUCUGGAUAUGUUGUACUUUGAUGUAAUUUUAGGUAUGACUUGGUUAGGUAUGACUUGGUUAUCUCUAUAUCACAUUGUUUUAAAUUUUAAUGCUAAGACAGUGACUCUAGUUAUGUCGGGAAUGUGUAAUCUAGGGUGGAAGGGAGAGUAUAAGGCCAAGCCGGUGAAGAUUAUAUCAUUUUUCUGGGCCAGAAGUUUGGUAGGAAAGGGAUGUCCAACAUUUUUAGCUCAUCUCCAGGAUGUAAGUGCGAGGUCUCAUUCUAUAGGGUCAGCUUUGGUAGUUUCCGAAUUUCAAGAUGAAUUCUCUUCAAACCUCCCCGAUAUAUCUUCAAAUAGAUAUAUUGAUUUUUGUAUUGACUUAGAGUUGGGUACACGCCUAUAUUUAUUCUUCCUUAUAAAAUAACUCCAGCAGAGUUGAGAGAUUUUAAGACUCAAUUAUAGGAGCUACUUAACAAGGGUUUUAUUUGUCCAAGUGCUUCACCUUGGGGUGCUCUGAUCAUUUUUGUUAAAAAAGAAAUAUGGUAGUUUAAGAAUGUACACUGAUUAUAGAUAGCUGAAUAAAGUUACUAUUAGAAAUAACUAUUAUUUUCCUCUCAUAGAUGAUUUGACCAGUUGUAGGGUGCAUUAGUGUUCUCAAAAAUUAAUUUACGAUCAGAUUAUCAUUUGUUGAAAAUUAGACCAAAGAAAGCUUUUAGAACUCAGAUGGUUUUAUGAAUUUCUGGUGAUGUUUUCGGGUUGGCUAAUGCACUUGCAGCCUUAAUGAGUUUGAUGAACGGGAUCUUUAAUUCGUUCUUGAAUUCUUUUAUUAUUGUCUUUAGUAAUGAUAUUCUUGUCUACUCCAAAAGUAAAAAAAAAAUAGCAUUUAGGCCAUAUUCGUACAGUCUUGGAGAUUCUAAGAGAGAAACGGUUAUUUGCUAAGUUUUCAAAGUGUGAAUUCUGGUUGUCUUUAGUUGCCUUCUUGGGGCACGUCGUUUCUGAAAAAAGGGUGAUGGAGGAUCCCCAGAAUAUUGAGGUAAUUAAUAAUUAGAUUUAGCCUAGUUCAAUGAUCGAGGUAAGGAGCUUUGUAGGUCUUGCUAGUUAUUGUCACAGAAUUGUUAAGAACUUUGCAUUCGUUGCAACACAAUUCACAAUGUCGAAUCAAAAAAAAAUGUUAUUUGUUUGGUCAUAUAAAUGUGAAGAGAUAUUCCAAAAUGUCAAGACACCCUUGACUAAGGCACCUAUCCUUUCAUUGUCAAUUGAAGGUACGGACUAGUAUUUUGCAAUGCUUCACUUUUGAGUUGGUUAUUGUGUUGAUGCAAGAUAAAAAUUUCAUAGCUUAUGGUUCGAGGUAAUUGAAACCUCACGAAAUGAUCAACCCAACAUAUGACUUAGUGUUGGUAGGAAUGGUAUUUGCAUUAAUGGUCUAGAGACACUAUCUUUAUGGUGUCAAGUGUAAGGUCUUCACUAAUCACCAUAGACUACUACACGUAUUCACUCAAAGGGAUCUGAAUCUAAGGCAACGAAGGUAGAUGGAAUUGUUGAAGGACUAGGAUGUAACUAUUCAGUAUCAUCCGGAUAAGGCUAACAUAGUGGCAUAUGCAUAGACUGGAAAAUAAGUAAGUAUGAGCAUUUUAUCAUCCUAGAGGAUAUCCAUCCUACCACUAGCUAGAGAGUUAAAAACUCUAGCAUCUUUGAGAAUAUAGUCUGGGGUCUCAAACAGGGUUAAUGUGUUGGCUAGUGUUGAGGAAAAGUCAACAUUAUCAAAUUAAGAACAAGCAAUUUGAAGAUGAGAAGUUGAAUAUAUUUAGAAGUAAAAUGGUGUAGAGAGGUGGUGAACGUCACUCUAGAAGUGAGUAGGGUGUUAUGGUUUAAGGAAAGAUUAUGUGGUCCUUGGGUCGGAGAUUUGAUUUGCAAUGUGCUUUCAGAGGCCUAUACUUUGCUUUAUUAUAUUUAUCCUGGUGCGAUCAAGAUGUACCGUGACUGGAGAUAACUUUAUUGAUGGCUCGAGAUAAAGAGGGAAAUAGUAGAUUAUGUGCCCAAGUGUUAGAACUAUCAGUUGGUAAAGUAUAAGACUAUCAGUUGGUAAAGUAUAAGCACUAACGUCCAGCGAGGUUACCUCAGAGGAUGCCUAUAUCUAUGUAGAAGUAGGAUCAUAUUGCUAUGAAUUUUGUGGUAGGUGUCGCGCCCCGUUUUCCUCGCAGAAAGCGAGAUUCGACGUGAUCACUCCUUUUGAGAUUGUUUGAAAGAUGAAUGUGAAAAGUCGCCACCUAACAAAUUAAGAAUAUAAUUGUUCAAAGAGUGAUUUAAAGUGCUAAGAAUAUCAUUUGUAAUGUGUCCACGAUUAUUAAACAUGCGAGAAUCAAUAUACAUGUUGUAUAUUAAGUUGUCAUUUCCAAAUGCGAUUUAACAAGGCGGAUAUUAAUUAAACUCCUAAAAACAUGAUUUCUAGGUGGAUCAACUAAUAAGUCGUAAAUUAGAUUUGCCUAGAUAAUAAAUUAACGAAUUCUAAGUUUGUUUGCCUAAAUGGUUCGCGUAGCACAUACAUACAUAAUUCUCUGCCCCCGAGCAGUCCCAUGAAUAUUAUUACAUCAUUACAUGAGUGUUCAUACAAUAUUACGGACCAAAAGGGGAGAAUUAAACUAAAGAAAAAGAAUAAUGUAGUCCCUCUCAACCCCGAGCGACUCUUCAAUUCCCAAACCUGUAACACAAUGAACCUGUAACACAAUGACAUAGCAUGGCAAGCACAAAGAAACGAACGAAACUAUUGCGGCAUAAUUUCAAACACACAAAAAAAAAUCAAACAAUGACAUAGCAAACAAAAGAGUUUGAUACAUAAAAAUGACCUUAAACUUGACACCUAAUUAUAACUUUGACCUUAAACUUUGAUAGUGCACAAAUAGGACCUUUAACUAUUCAAAAUCUGAACAAAUAUAACCUCCGAUUUUGCAACCCAUGCGUGAGUCUCACUCGCGCCUAUGUGGAAAGGUAAUCCAAUCACACGGUGCCACAUCGUUAAAAGGGCUGACUUGGAGAGAAAACAUAUUUAUGCAAUUUUGAAAAGUUAAAGGUCAUAUUUGUGCACUGUCAAAGUUUUGUUUUUUUGUAUUAAAACGUCAUCGUUGUCGUUGUUGUUAUUAUUAAUUAUUAUUUUAUUUAUUUAUUUCUAUAACAGCGGCACCUAACUUUUUUUAAUUAAAAAAAAAGCGAAAUCAAACCCGCACAGUAAGUUGAAGGAAGCGCCCAAGAAAAGCAAAUAACACAACUGCUAUCUAAGUGUCUUGUUUCAUGUGGUUCAACAUUAAUAUAUGUACAUAAAUAUACAUUUUCUAUCUUAUAUAUAUACAGCAUAAUUUUUUUACCGAGAGAGUUCGGAUGAACCCAUGGAGAUCCGCCCCUCGUUAAUUUAAUAACAUUUUAAUAACGUUAAUUUAAUAAUAUUUUAAUUACGUUAAUUUAAUAAUAUUUUAAUUAUGUUAAUUUGAUAAUAUUUUAAUUACGUUAAUUUGAUAACGUUAAUUUAAUAUAAUACUACUACUAACCUUAAUAACAUUAAUUUAAUGUUUUAUUAAAACUAUAAUUUUUUUAUUAUUAGUAUAGUUUCAUCUUUAAUUUAAUAUUUAAAUAAAUAAUAUUUAAAUAUAUUAUAUAACUUAAAUUCGUCAUCUGUUUUAUAAUAUAUAUAUACAUACCCUCUCAAUUUUUCACAUGAAGCUAACCCGCCUAAUUAAUAAAUCUUCAAUAUUGCUCUUUUUCCACAAUGACAAAAGAAAUUAAAUAUCAUUUUCAUCUUUGAGCCGAAAAUAAUGAAAAAAUAAUAGUGAAGUGCAUUUUUGAAUAGCUAAAGAUCACAUUUAUGCACUGUCAAAGUUAAGAUCAUAUUUAUGUAUUAUGUCCUUAGAUUUUAAGUUGAAUGCGCCCAAUUUUACAUGUUAAACACGCGUAUUGUCACGUAGGAUUAAAGGUCAUAUUUGUGCAGAUUUGAAUAAUUAAAGGUCAUAUUUGUGCACUGUCAAAAUUUAAGGUCAAAAUUAUAAUUUGGUGUCAAGUUUAGGUCAUUUUUAUGUAUUAACUCCAAAUAAAACAUCAAACAAUUUCCAUGAACAUGCUUUCUAGUCUCAUCACAUAAUAUAUUGAAUUGCAUCGAUAAGAAACUUACCAAUUGAAGAUUACCAAUAGUAAUAGGAAAAUGAAGCAGCACAAAGUUAAAGUAUGAACCGUUGCAGGUGAAGUCAAGACCAAUUCUCCAAUAUUAAAUGCAAAUUUAAAAUAUUUAAGUGAUUUUGUUAUCUAAAGAAUAUUUAAAGCUUUUUCGUGCAAUGUGUGUGAAGAGUUGAUAAAAAUGUAGAGUGUCUGUUACUAUAGUGUGAGAGCUUGUCCCUUUGAAAAAUAAGGGGUUCUUUAUAUAGCCAAGUAGUGUAAGAUUAUAAAAAUAGCAAAACAAUAUUCUCGUCAAUCAAUUAAGUGAAAAUUUCUCUUAAACGAAUAACUGAGACCAAUCACAUACACAACUGCUAUCUAAGUGUCUUGUUUCAUGUGGUUCAACAUUAAUAUAUGUACAUAAAUAUACAUUUUCUAUCUUAUAUAUAUACAGCAUAAUUUUUUUACCGAGAGGGUUCGGAUGAACCCAUGGAGAUCCGCCCCUCGUUAAUUUAAUAACAUUUUAAUAACGUUAAUUUAAUAACAUUUUAAUUACGUUAAUUUAAUAAUAUUUUAAUUACGUUAAUUUAAUAAUAUUUUAAUUACGUUAAUUUGAUAAUAUUUUAAUUACGUUAAUUUAAUAACGUUAAUUUAAUAUAAUACUACUACUAACCUUAAUAACAUUAAUUUAAUAUUUUAUUAAAACUAUAAUUUUUUUAUUAUUAAUAUAAUUUCAUCUUUAAUUUAAUAUUUAAAUAAAUAAUAUUUAAAUAUAUUAUAUAACUUAAAUUCGUCAUCUGUUUUAUAAUAUAUAUAUACAUACCCUCUCAAUUUUUCACAUGAAGCUAACCCGCCUAAUUAAUAAAUCUUCAAUAUUGCUCUUUUUCCACAAUGACAAAAGAAAUUAAAUAUCAUUUUCAUCUUUGAGCCGAAAAUAAUGAAAAAAUAAUAGUGAAGUGCAUUUUUGAAUAGCUAAAGAUCACAUUUAUGCACCGUCAAAGUUUAAGAUCAUAUUUAUGUAUUAUGUCCUUAAAUUUUAAGUUGAAUGCGCCCAGUUUUGCAUGUUGAACACGCGUAUUGUCACGUAGGAUUAAAGGUCAUAUUUGUGCAGAUUUGAAUAGUUAAAGGUCAUAUUUGUGCACUGUCAAAAUUUAAGGUCAAAAUUAUAAUUUGGUGUCAAGUUUAGGUCAUUUUUAUGUAUUAACUCCAAAUAAAACAUCAAACAAUUUCCAUGAACAUGCUUUCUAGUCUCAUCACAUAAUAUAUUGAAUUGCAUCGAUAAGAAACUUACCAAUUGAAGAUUACCAAUAGUAAUAGGAAAAUGAAGCAGCACAAAGUUAAAGUAUGAACCGUUGCAGGUGAAGUCAAGACCAAUUCUCCAAUAUUAAAUGCAAAUUUAAAAUAUUUAAGUGAUUUUGUUUUCUAAAGAAUAUUUAAAGCUUUUUCGUGCAAUGUGUGUGAAGAGUUGAUAAAAAUGUAGAGUCUGUUACUAUAGUGUGAGAGCUUGGUCCCUUUGAAAAAUAAGGGGUUCUUUAUAUAGCCAAGUAGUGUAAGAUUAUAAAAAUAGCAAAACAAUAUUCUUGUCAAUCAAUUAAGUGAAAAUUUCUCUUAAACGAAUAACUGAGACCAAUCACAUACAAAUCACAGUUCAGAGAAUAAAAAGGAAAACUAAUAUUUAGAAGUAUCAUCAACAAUAUUAUUUUCGUUAUUUAGCUAGACGAAAUCAAUUAGAAGCAAAUUUGCCAUAAAUAAGUAAAAAAAAUCAGUUCAACUUUUAAAGGAAACCAAGAAGUGGGUAAAGCAAAGCACCAAUCAACUAUAAUAUCAUUCAUUUAUUUUUUCCUCAAACAAAUAGACAAAAAGAUCUGUCAGCAAGUCAAUUUCAUAUAAUUUAAGCUAAUUAGUAUGGAGAAAAAAUCUAAUUUCUCAUAACUUUCCCAAAAUCUAGCAAACUAAUUUAAAUCAUAUUAUAAUUAGCUACCAAAACAACACACAUAAGAAUGACCACCACAAUUCAAAUACGGUGAGACGAAAGACAGACAAAUCAGAAUUGAGAACUUUGUAAUUAAAAGUAGAAUUAGGGUUCCAAAGCAACUUAGGAAACUUAAGCUCUGCGCGUAUGUCGACCUAAAGGUGUUUAAAACUAUGAAAUUGAAACAUGCAGACAAUCAAUUAUGUUCAAGACAUUUACGAAUUUCACGACUCAAAAUUUGUCUAAGAAAGGUGACAAAUAAGCACAGUUUUGCAAUCAUUACAUAUAGAGAUGAAUUUGAAAUAAAAUCAGCAAAAGAACCUUGAAAUUACAUAACUGUUGUUACUGACGUCUCCACCGGUCAUCAACUCCGGUGAAGACGGCGUUGGAGGUCAUCGCUGGUUCGGGCUUUUCCGUCGUCUGGCAGCAGCAAUGGAGGUUUCAAGGCAGCGAUGGCUAUUUUGACGGAAACGAGAGAGAAGACAGAGGUGGCCGGCUGGCGGCGGCUUCUUUGACUGGUGGCUGGUUAGGAGAUCGUCGGUGGAAGGCGGAGUUGGAGUGGGAAGACGCUGGUGGUUUUUGGCUGUUCUAGCGGGAGGUUCACCAGUGACGGAGGGAGAUCAAGGGGAGAGAGGUGACGGGUGGAGGCUGUCCGUUGUUGUGGUGAUUUAUCGGAGAGGGAGGGACAGUGGAGACCGGAGCGGCGCUGGCGCUAAAUCACCGGUUGGUGUUGACGGCGGAGGGUGGCUUUGCAUGGUUGGUUUGGCGGACUGGUCGCGGAGAUGGCGGGGUGAGGCACAGAGGUUGGCGACGGCGGCGCUGGCUCAAGAUUUUCCGGAGGAGGAGGACGAGAGGGGGAAUAGGGUGAGGGAAGGCUCGCCGGCCCUGGGAUGGCCGGCGGCAGCCAUAGACGCCGAUGGAGAGGAGAGGAGAGGAGAGGAGUAGAGAGCGAAGAGACGUAGAGAGAGAGAGUUAGAGAGAGGAAGGAGGCGCAUGUUUUUA
rnacentral:lncRNA from 1 species